AGCAGCCGCGGUAAUUCCAGCUCCAAUAGCGUAUAUUAAAGUUGUUGCAGUUAAAAAGCUCGUAGUUGAAUUUCGGGGUCAGUAGGUCGGUCGUGCCACAGGUAUGCACUGGUCUCACCGAUUCCUCCUUCCUGAUGAACCGUAAUGCCAUUAAUUUGGUGUUGCGGGGAGACUGGACUGUUACUUUGAAAAAUUGAGUGUUUAAAGCAGGCUAACGCUUGAAUACAUUAGCAUGGAAUAAUGAAAUAGGACGUUCGAUUCUAUUUUGUUGGUUUCUAGGAUUGACGUAAUGAUUAAUAGGGAUAGUUGGGGGCAUUAGUAUUCAAUUGUCAGAGGUGAAAUUCUUGGAUUUAUUGAAGACUAACUACUGCGAAAGCAUUUGCCAAGGAUGUUUUCAUUAAUCAAGAACGAAGUUAGGGGAUCGAAGACGAUCAGAUACCGUCGUAGUCUUAACCAUAAACUAUGCCGACUAGGGAUCGGAUGAUGUUAAUUUUAAUGACUCAUUCGGCGCCUUAAC
rnacentral:rRNA from 1 species